UGCCUUAGUAGCGGCGAGUGAAGCGGCAAAAGCUCAAAUUUGAAAUCUGGUACUUUCAGUAUCCGAGUUGUAAUUUGUAGAAGCAACUUUGGUGAUGGUCUUUGCAUAAGUUCCUUGGAAUAGGACGUCAUAGAGGGUGAGAAUCCCGUAUAUGGUGAAGAACCCACACUAUGUAAAGUGCUUUCGAAGAGUCGAGUUGUUUGGGAAUGCAGCUCAAAGUGGGUGGUAAAUUCCAUCUAAAGCUAAAUAUUGGCGAGAGACCGAUAGCGAACAAGUACUGUGAAGGAAAGAUGAAAAGAACUUUGAAAAGAGAGUGAAAAAGUACGUGAAAUUGUUGAAAGGGAAGGGAUCUAAAUCAGACAUGGUAUUUUGUGAUCAACAGUCUUUCGGGAUUGUGCACUCGCAUUUUACUAGGCCAGCAUCGGUUAGAAGGGGGUAAAAAAGAUUUUGGAAUGUGGCUCCUCGGAGUGUUAUAGCCAAAGUUAAUUGCCCCAUUUCUGACCGAGGACCGCGUCUUUUGACUAGGAUGCUGGCGUAAUGGUUUUGAUCCACCCGUCUUGAAACACGGACCAAGGAGUCUAACGUCUAUGCGAGUGUUUGGGUGUAAAACCCGUACGCGUAAUGAAAGUGAACGUAGGUGAGAGCCUUUUAGGUGCAUCAUCGACCGAUCCUGAUGUUUUCAGAUGGAUUUGAGUAAGAGCAUAGCUGUUGGGANCCGAAAGAUGGUGAACUAUGCCUGAAUAGGGUGAAGCCNGAGGAAACUCUGGUGGAGGCUCGUAGCGGUUCUGANGUGCAAAUCGAUCGUCAAAUUUGGGUAUAGGGGCGAAAGACUAAUCGAACCAUCUAGUAGCUGGUUCCUGCCGAAGU
rnacentral:rRNA from 1 species